rnacentral:misc_RNA from 1 species
GGCCAUGCUUAAUACCUUCUUCCCGUGGUCAGCAUCAUAUAGGUCUCUUUUCUCACUAGGAUGACUCAUACCAGCUGGAUCUCUGCCAACAAUAUAGAAAUUAGCUCCUGCAUUUAUCCGGGACUUGGCAUGCCACUGCACCUCAGUUGGGCCUGCAUAUUGCAUUGGAGAGGGGAAGAUUGCAACAACUGUUGUUUCUGGGUUCAGG